rnacentral:rRNA from 1 species
GACGUAGGGCGCGAGCGUUGUCCGGAUUUAUUGGGCGUAAAGAGCGUGUAGGCGGCCAGGUAGGUCUGCUGUGAAAACUCGAGGCUCAACCUCGAGACGUCGGCGGAAACCAUCUGGCUAGAGUCCGGAAGAGGAGAGUGGAAUUCCUGGUGUAGCGGUGAAAUGCGUAGAUAUCAGGAGGAACACCUGUGGCGAAAGCGGCGCACUGGACCAUAACUGACGCUGAGGCGCGAAAGCUAGGGGAGCAAACAGG